rnacentral:rRNA from 1 species
CAUUUGCCAAGUAUGUUUCCGUUAAUCAAGAACGAAAGUUAGAGGUUCGAAGGCGAUCAGAUACCGCCCUAGUUCUAACCAUAAACGAUGCCAGCCAGCGAUCCGCCGAAGUUCCUCCGAUGACUCGGCGGGCAGCUUCCGGGAAACCAAAGCUUUUGGGUUCCGGGGGAAGUAUGGUUGCAAAGCUGAAACUUAAAGGAAUUGACGGAAGGGCACCACCAGGAGUGGAGCCUGCGGCUUAAUUUGACUCAACACGGGAAACCUCACCAGGCCCGGACACCGGAAGGAUUGACAGAUUGAGAGCUCUUUCUUGAUUCGGUGGGUGGUGGUGCAUGGCCGUUCUUAGUUGGUGGAGCGAUUUGUCUGGUUAAUUCCGGUAACGAACGAGACUCUAGCCUGCUAAAUAGACGAUUUCCGGUAUCCACAAUAGUGCUACCGGCGAAAUCAAUAUCUUCUUAGAGGGACAGGCGGCUUUCAGCCGCACGAAACUGAGCAAUAACAGGUCUGUGAUGCCCUUAGAUGUCCUGGGCCGCACGCGCGCUACACUGAAGGAAUCAGCGUGUACACCCUGGCCGAAAGGCCCGGGCAACCCGUUGAACCUCCUUCGUGCUAGGGAUUGGGGCUUGCAAUUGUUCCCCAUGAACGAGGAAUUCCCAGUAAGCGCGAGUCAUAAGCUCGCGUUGAUUACGUCCCUGCCCUUUGUACACACCGCCCGUCGCUACUACCGAUUGAAUGAUUUAGUGAGGUCUUCGGACUGGUGCGCGGCGACCGCGCCCGCGCGGCCGCCGAUGCCACCGGGAAGAUGACCGAACUUGAUCAUUUAGAGGAAGUA